GGGGCUCCUGGGCGGGGCCCGAAGGCGACAAAUUCGGGGCCCAGAAAUACGAGGGGGGCACCGGGUGCUGGCAGGGACCCAACCGGGCCACAACGGUGCGGCUCAGGUGUGGCCCCUCCACGGCGCUGGCGGCGGCGUCGGAGCCGAGUCGCUGCGAGUACCUGCUGGAGCUGGAGACACCCGCGGCCUGCAGGGAGCAACCGGCGCUGCACGAGGAGCACGAUGAGCUCUGAGACACCCAAAAUGGCCCAAAAUCACCCCAAAAAUAACCUGAAAUAUCCUGAAAUUAUCCCAUAAAAUACCCACAAAAUAUCCCAAAAACCAGUUCAGAAUUAUCCCAAAAUGCCCCAACCUGCAGGGAGCAACCGGCGCUGCACGAGGAGCACGACGAGCUCUGAGAGACCCAAAACGGCCCAAAAUAUCCCCAAAAAUAUCCUGAAAAUGUCCUGAAAAUAUCCCUGAAAAUGUCCUGAAAAUAUCC